UUAAACCAAAUUACCUCUUCUUCCUCCUCCCUCGCCUGAUCAGUCAUUCGCCGGUCACUGUGGAUAUGUCGGCGUCAUUACUGGACGUUUAAGUCGCGAGAUGCUCCUCUCCUUCCUGAUUUCUAUUUUCUUCUGCGUCUGCCGAGAGCAAGAGAGAGGGUCCAAUUGCUGAUUUUGAUACCUCUUCUCGUGGGUUAGUGCAUUCGGAAGGAGCUGGAAUUGUCAUAGCCAAGGGUUGCUGGUCAGUUUGCGAACUCUCCUUCUUCUUCACUUGUUUCCUAUUGCCAGAAACAACUUCUCCUCCCUAUUUUCCAGCACACCAGUAAGGGGCCAAAAAAGCUACGAUUUUCUCCCCGUGUCCCUUAAUUGCUAUGUUGGUUGGUUGAAUUUCACCUCUCUUCUCUUCUUUGCAUCAAAUCUUUGCGUGGAUUGUGAUGUGGGUGGCUGAAAUUUUGAUCCCCUUUCUUCUUGUUACGUGAAUGGUGUCUAAGAUUGAAUGGUAGAACGGUGAUUUGGGAAUUAACGCGCGAGCACUAGUGAGAUUUAGCUCACUGUGCCACACGCCGCGGCUUGUGUGCAUCAGCUCAUGAAUUAGAAGGAAAAGGGGAAAGAAAUGUGCUAAAGAGGGAGAGAGAGGAUCUCUGUGCUAGGGCUUCAAUUAUCCAGAGUUUAGAGUUUGUUUUCUAUUAGCGACUUGUCGGGUGAAGAGAGUGCAAGAAGACCGUGAAAGGAAAUGAGGAAAGAGUAGCCUCGGUUGAUAGUGGUAUGACCACUUUUGUGUAAUUAAUGUAUAAAUGUGUGAUUAAAGAUUUGAGUGUUCAAAUAGGAUGCAUAAGUGUAUAUAAAUAUGAAUAUGUGAUUAUAUUGUUGAGAACUUGUAUAUUUUGUAAGCAUCACACCAAGUGUAUCAUAAUGAUGGAUAUGUGGGUAAGCCUAGAUGCUAAUCAAGCAAGUGUAUGUUAUGUUGUGAAACUUGUUCCACUAGUAUUGA